GCCUGGGUAGCUCAGUCUGUUGAGCAUCUGACUUCAGCUCAGGUCAUGAUCUCAUGGUUCGUGGGUUCAAGUCCCAUGAUGGGCU
rnacentral:tRNA from 1 species